GGUUUCACACUGACGGGACCGAGGAUCGCUCGUUGUGUAACCAGCGUCCCGCGUUGAAGACGGCCUGCUGAGGGCGCCGUCUCGUGCAAACGACAGCUGCGCAUCGGUUUGUGUCCCGGUCCACUGACGCGCGAGUCCUGUGCCAUUGACAUGAAAAUUUCACCAGAUGUUGGGAACAACCCAAGUAAUACAUACAUACAACGGAAGUAGAACAAAUAAGAUGAUGAUCUCGUAGAGCGGCGCCAGCUGCUGGAACAGGAGCAGAAUUCAUGGUUCCAAUCAAUCACAGCAAGUUGUCCAGGUCCUGAAGGAGAAGCAGCCCAAGUACAUCACACUACCACUUUUUUUCUUUUUCCCUUUGUUUUUAAAUGCUUUUAAUCAUGUAAAGCACAUUGAGUUACAUUGUGUAUGAAAUGCGCCAUAUAAGUACAUUUGUUUUGCUUUGCUUACCACCACCAUGUUUGACUGUUAGUGGUGGUUACGCAAGAUGUAACGAGACACACACGCACAUUCCAAAAACCUCAACUUUCAUCCCGCCAGUCCAUAUAAUAUUCUCCCAAAAAUCUUGGGAAUCAUUCAGAUGUUUUUUUUGCAAAAGUAAGACAAGCCUUUAUGUUCUUUUUGGUCAGCAGUGCUUUUUGCCAACUCUGCCAUGGAAACACUGCAAAAAUAUAAGAAUUUGAGAAGGUGGCCAAUACCUUUUUCACGGAAAUGUAUUUGAUCCAUACACCCUGGUGGAAUACAAUUUAAAAAAUAUUUAAGUGAACAUUAACCCUUUAUUGCUCAGUGACUGUUUUUUGUCAAUGUCUUCGUGUCUCCAAUGUGUUCUUUGUCAAUUGACUGUCUGUUGUCGUGCUAGAGCGGCUUCAACUACCGGAGACAAAGUCCUUGUGUGUUUUUUGGACAUACUUGGCAAAUAAAGAUGAUUCUGAUUCGGA